AUUGAACGCUGGCGGCAUGCCUUACACAUGCAAGCCGAACGGUAGAGUAGCAAUACUUGAGAGUGGCGAACGGGUGAGUAAUAUAUCGGAACGGUGCCCAGUCGUGGGGGAUAACGUAGAGAAAUUUACGCUAAUACCGCAUACGAUCUAAGGAUGAAAGCGGGGGAUUCGCAAGAACCUCGCGCGAUUGGAGCGGCUGAUAUCAGAUUAGGUUGUUGGUGAGGUAAAAGCUCACCAAGCCGACGAUCUGUAGCUGGUUUGAGAGAACGACCAGCCACACUGGGACUGAGACACGGCCCAGACUCCUACGGGAGGCAGCAGUGGGGAAUUUUGGACAAUGGGCGGCAAGCCUGAUCCAGCAAUGCCGCGUGCAGGAUGAAGCU
rnacentral:rRNA from 1 species